rnacentral:sRNA from 1 species
ACUCACCCCAGGAUCGCUGGGAAAAGUCUUGGACUGAGGAGCUCCAAAGAGGAAGCUGUGGCGCUGCGUAGGGAAGGAGGGAAGAAAGUAGGUCUCCGAGAUGCUGCGGCUUGUGGUGCAGUCGGCCAAGAUUGACCCACCACUAGCCCCCCUACCCAGGCCCUGCAUGUCCAUCGACUUCAGAGAUAUCAAGAAAAGAACUCGUGUGGUGGAAGGGAAUGAUCCCGUGUGGAAUGAGAUUCAUUGGCCUGGCCACAGUACUGCUCAAGCCAUUGUUGAAACAACCAAGUGAGGUCCUUUUUGUGAAGGACUUGACCCUGCUCAACCAUUCCAUGAAGCCCACAGAUUGUACUGUCACCCUACAGGUGGCCCACAUGAGCAACCAGGAUAUUGAGAAGACAGGAGCUGAAGACCACCUGGGCAUAACGGCAAGAGAGGCAGCCAGUCAGAAACUGAUGGUCCCUGGCUCCACUGCGCACAGGGCUCUGUCCUCAAAGCCUCAGCACUUUCAGGUUCGAGUGAAGGUGUUUGAAGCCCGACAGCUCAUGGGCAACAACAUCAAACCAGUGGUGAAGGUGUCCAUCGCAGGCCAGCAGCACCAGACACGCAUCAAGAUGGGAAACAACCCUUUCUUUAAUGAGGUGGGCUGAACGGGGCACAUCAGGCAAGGAGCCAGCCAAGGGCUGGGCAUCCCCGGUGGGCAGCCGGCAAGCUUGCUCCUUGACUAGGGUGUCUUCAUGUGUUUGUUCCACAAGCAUUUACUGAGUGUCUACUGAGGGCCAAGCACUGAAAAUACAGAACAGGAUAACACAGAGCCCUGUAUCUGAGGAGCUGGUGGGCUGGUGGGGGCACAACUCAUGAAUCCAUAAACAAUUACAACAGAGCAGAUCCUGGUUUACAGAGGUCUGGGAGCAUUGCUAUUGGAGGUUCGAAGCACCUACCCAGACCAUGUAUGUCUCAUUGCUGCUGGAGCCCCAAAUUGUAGCACUGGGCCUGAUACACAGUAGGUGCUCCGUAAAUACUUGUUGAAUUAAUUAGUAAAUGAACAAAUAAAAGAUAAAAGCACAGUGGAAGCUGGAAGGAGUAAGUGAGUAAUGAGGCUGGGGGUGGCGGAGAGGACUCAGAAGGGCUCCAGCAACCCUGAAGGAAGAUUUUACCAGGGAAAGACAGACAGGAUGGGAAAAGAUAAUUCAGGAAAAAGUCAUGGUGUUUUCAAAGGCCUGGAACCAAGCAAGCCGCAGACUUGACAGCAGAACUAUAGCUAUGGGUGUGGCUGGAGGAGACUGGCUGGAGGGGAGCCUACAGUGUGGGCUGGGGUCCCAUCCUGGACACUACUCAGGAGCCAUGGAGGACUUAAGCAGAGGAGUGACAGGCCUAGGUUUGCAUUUGGGAAAGAAGUUUCUGGCUGCCACGGGGAGCAGGGACAGAGUGGACUGGCAGGGCAACCUAGAAGGAGGUGUGGGCUCAAAUCUCCAUCCUGGGCAGCUAGCUGGGCCCUGAGUUCUCCAGGAAUCUCCUACCAUUCCCCAUUCUGGGCAGAAAACCCUCCAGGAGGCUGGGCUUGGUGGCUCAUGCCUGUAAUUCCAGAACUUUGGGAGACCGUGGUGAGUGGAUCACCUGAGGUCCGGAGUUCGAAACCAUCCUGACCAAUAUGGUGAAACCCUGUCUCUUUUGUAAAAAUACAAAAAUUAGCCACAUGCAGUGGCAGGUGCCUGUAAUCCCAUCUACUCAGGAGGCUGAGGCAGGAGAAUCGUUUGAACCCGAGGUUGCAGUGAGUUGAGAUUGCACCACCACACUCCAGCCUAGGUGACAGAGCGAGACUCCGCCUAAAAAUAGGAAACCCUCUAGGAGCCCGGGAGGCCUCUGCUUCUGGGGGAGCAUGAGAGAAGUGGCACAAGUUGAGUAUCCCUUACCCAAAAUGCAUGGUAUCAGAAGUGUUUUAGAUUUCAGAUUUUUUUUGGGAAUCUGGAAUAUUUGCAUUGUACCAGUUCAGCAUUCGUAAUAAUGAAAAUCUGAAACCCAGAAUGCUCCAGUGAGCAUUUCCUUUGAGGGUCAUGUUGGCACUCAGAAAGUUUCAGAUUUUGGAGCAUUUUUUAUUUCAGAUUUUUGGAUUAGGAAUACUCAGCCUGUACUUGUAAACCCAUUGAAAUGGGUAAAGUUGUGGAAAGAAGCACAUUAUUCUGAACUUUCAGGUUUACUGAGUGCUUGGGUGAAGUGGCGGAAGAAAUCAUCCACUCUACCCCAAUUCUCUUUGCCUCAGAUCUUCUUCCAGAAUUUUCAUGAGGUUCCUGCAAAGUUCUUUGAUGAGACCAUCUUAAUCCAGGUGAGGAGCCAAACUGGUCCCCAGCAAGGUGGGUUUCUUGUCCCACUUCAAUACUGGGAAGCACUACAGCUCCAGCCCCGACCCUUAGAGCCAGGGGCACUUCAGAUUGUCUUCCUGACCCCCACCACUUUCUUCACCCCCUGGCACCCAGAUUAUUCAUUCAUUUACUCAUUUAUUCAACAAAUGUUGUGGAUUGCCAACUGCCAGGCCCUGAACUGGGCGCCAAGGUGAACAAGGCAGCCCCUUCCCAUGUGCCAGGAUUUUCAAGCCACCAAAGGCCCCUCCAAGUAGAAUACUCCAUUCCCUAACCAAAGGGAGCCAGUAACAAUGUUGAACAUGUGGUUAUCAGGUGCCUACUAUGUGCCCAGCACAGGGCUAAGGAGAACAAAGAGGCCUCUUCCUUUGAAGAAUUUACUGUUCUUGGGAACAAAGGCACAGAGGAAACAACCAGGAGAGCAUGUAAUGGAUAACGUUGAGUGCAACACCUUGCUUUGUGUUGACUUGGGGCAAGGAAAUUGACCUCUCUGAUCAAUUUCCUCAUCAGUAAAAUGGAAUUAAAAAUCUGAACCUCACAGGGUUCCUCUGAGAGUGAAAUGAGAACACCCAUGUGCAAGUGUCUGCCCCAUUAGGAAGCAUUCAAUACGUCGGGAGGAUCCUGGUUGUGCCUUUGCUAUACCUCUUACAGGGGCUGAGGGAAAUUGGGAUUGUGAAUAAUUAAAAUAUUUCUGGGAACUCCCUUGCAGGUGGUGAACUCCUCAGCAAUGAGAUACAAAGCAGAGAUCGGGAGAUUUCAAGUGAGUACUGUACAUGGGAGGAGGUUCAGUGAAACAGUUAUUAAAACAGAGACCCAUGCUGGGCUCCAUGCCCAAGUCUAGGGAAAAGGACUUGGAUUUUCACACAGAAAGAUCCAGACUUGGCCGGGUGCAGUGGCUCGCACCUGUAAUCCCAGCACUUUGGGAGGCCGAGGCCGGCGGAUCACGAGGUCAGGAGAUCGAGACCAUCGUGGCUAACACAGUGAAACCCCGUCUCUACUAGAAAUACAAAAAAUUAGCGGGGUGUGGUGGCGGGCGCCUGUAGUCCCAGCUACUCAGGAGGCUGAGGCAGGAGAAUUGCUUGAACCCAGGAGGCGGAGCUUGCAGUGAGCCGAGACCGCACCACUGCACUCCAGCCUGGGCGACAGGGUGAGACUCCAUCUC